UCUCGGUUUCAGCUCCUCAGUUAUCCCAUCUCCCUAGAAUGCAAAGGAAAUUCGUCAAGUUACCACAGCUCAAAGACAAUCCCAGGAACACAUCUACAGAAAUGUAUUUUAGCAUGUAUGGUUGGUUGCCUCCUGAAUCCUGCCUCUUCUCUUUGCUGGCUUUGUCUACUUGGUAACAUGACCAGUAGAUGGCACUUAAUUCAGAGACCUGCAUCCGUUCAUUGUGCAAAGAAGAGGAGACUGUGGAGUGCUCAGCUCUAAAGAGGACAUUUAUACCACAUCCACACCCCUCAACACUCAAGGAUCCACUCGGAAGAGGGAGCAGAGAGAUUGUAAGAACCCGAGGUGGUUGAGGAACAUCUAGGUUGUUUCCAGAUUCUGGUUAUGAUGAGUAAAAGCUGCUAUAGACAUAAUUGAGACACUGGGUACGUUAAAGAUGAAUUUUUGAAGCUUCUAUAAUGGUAAGCAAGCAAAUGACAUGGAUGCUAAAGACUUUUGUGUGGUCCAAACCCCAUACCUGCUAUAAUUGGUGCAUGACACAUCUGCACUUUCCCCUGAAAAUGAUGACUGCAUGAGCUACUGAGCAUAGCUACCGCUCUGGAUCCUGAUUGCCUGUGUCACAGGGAUGAGUGUGUUCCUGGAAGAGUGAACGGAAAAAACUCAGGACAAACCGCUUGCCACUGAACUUUCUAAGAAGAUAAUUGAAACCAGCCAUAAGCUGUUUUUCAGAUCCAUCCGCAGUGACAUCCACAGGGCUUAAUUAAUGUGGAUGUUCCAUGGUCUUCAGGGUGAGCCUUGGAUUUUAGUUGAAGAAUAUACCCCUCACCAUUUCUGUAAAAGUAUCCCAAAAUUAUAAAUUCCGAGGAAGCAGACCAACCGUCACUCAGAGUUGAGUGUGUGCAGAGAGACAUUUGCAACAGCAAGACAAGACAUGGAACUGAACCAGGACUGCAUAGGACAGAAUCCUUUUCCGACGUUGCCUGCCAACUCUUCGUUUACCUUUUGAUGGAAAGAAAGUGCAAUUCAACUAAAGUGAAAGUUAGCAUUCUCAUCUAUUGUACCGUGGACCAGAAAGAGAAGAAACAAAUCUAUUAUAUUUCAUUUUUAUUCUGUACAUUUCCACACGAUUCACAAUACAGAAAAAGUGUCCAAAAAGUAAGUAGAACUAGUCAAUUUCUUUUUCAGAGAUUAAUUCAGUCUCCCAAAUUAAAUCCAUUGAAAAUCUCUGUAGCGCAACACAGUGAUCAAGAUUCUUUAUAUAAAUAGGAAAUGCGAGAAAAUUAGGGAAAAAUACUUUAUGACUUUAUUACAAAAAAAC
ensembl:lncRNA